rnacentral:rRNA from 1 species
AUGCAUGGCAAGCCUCUCCGCCGCAUAGGCGAAGAUUGUCCUGAUGGCGCUACGAGUAAGAGCGUUAGGCAGGACAUAUGCAUCUUGCUCGAUCGCAUCCACGGUUUCUACGAGUCGGCCCUCGACCGGCUGCCGGCGGAGAGGAUACCCUCGCUGACCACGCGCCUGCUCAAGGCCGGCGUUUGCUUCGGCUUCCUUGACCCGGUCUCCAACAUCAUCGCCAACACCAUCUCCUACACGCCAAGCGCCGAGGACGAAAUUGAGGAGGAAGAGGAAAUCAUCAUCUCUAAGGUGAGGACCAACACAAAAGAUGAACGAAUCUUUGAUAUACCGCUGUACCCAGAGACGGUCGACUCCAUGACCGUGGCACGGCGGUCGCUGGAGGGUCUUGUCACCUUCCUUUGCUUUCAGUACCGCUACUUGGAGAAAACAGAGGCACUGCGCUACCUGCGCCUGGCUGGAUGCGACCUCCUCGGCGCUGUAGGGUUCGUCGAGCAAGACCGUAAGAGGAGCCCCGGCGAGCCCGUGUUCAACAUCAUGUCACCUACAACCAGAAUAGCCCUGGAGUGUGCUGCCCUGUCCGCGAGGCAUCCCAAACCAGCAGAGCUGAUGGGCGUCUUGCUGUCAUUGAUGUCUCGGACGGUCAAGGUGUCCAAGAUUCUUGGGGCACACUGCUGCUUACCCUCUGCAGCUGUCAAGCGCCUUGCCAAGCUGCUCAGGGCCUCGAUUGAUCUUGGUGCCGGUAGAAAGAAGAAGAGAAAGAGGGGUGAGCUGACACCCAGCAACACAGAAUCUGCUGAGUGGAGGCCGGGUAUGCAUGGGACAUUCAGACACACACAGACUCUGAAGCUGCUGCUCCUCGGCAAGAUCCAUGGUUUCUACCUAGAGGCACUCGCCCUGCUGCCUAGGGAUGGCCUGCGCAAGCUUCACCACUGCAGCCUCAUCAAGGGCGGCUACUGCUAUGGCCCCUUGGAUCCUGUCUCGAACAUCAUCCUCAACACCAUUUGGUAUGGCACUGCAUUCCCCAUGCACCAAGAUUUCGAGUUUGACUUUCAGGUGGACAUGAUAUGCACAAGGACCCUUAUGCGCAUCGAGUGCUGCUCCCUCUAUGGCAUCGUCGCCUUCCUCCGUGCUCGCUUCAGUUCUCUCUCGGAGCAUGAUGCUCUCUGGCACCUUCUUUUGGCCAAUGUGGACUUACGGUUAGCCAUUGAGAUGGUACAACAGUCUGGUUUCCUUAUCGGCGGCACUGACCUUGAUGCCUAUAAGAAAGCUGCGGUUGAUUCAUGGCACUCGGACCCUGAUGCACUGGUGAAAUUCACGACAUUGUCCCUGGACAUUGAGCCCACCAAGUUGUCGCAUAUGCUGGCUCACGCGCUUGACGACUGCACAGUUGAGCACCUCACUAUGCUUGUGUCAAAAUCUUCACCUACCAAAUCAAAGAAGCGGGCUCGGUUACUGAAUAAAGUAUCAUCAUGCUCAGAGAUCUUGAAUAAAAACCAGAAGAUGUUAAUUCCGGCCAUUCGGAAGAAAUUUAAGGACCAAGAGUUCUAUGUCAGGAAGGUUAAUGAUGCAUUGAAAAAAAAAUCUCAGCAAACAGGGGUGGACUAUGAACUUCAUAUUAUUUGCGGUGUGAAUCCCAAGGUAUCUGAAGGUUCAACUACUUAUCUGUACAAGAAGAGGUUCAAAUAUGAGUAUUUCCACAUCAACUUCUUGGCAACACCAAAGGGAUCAGAUCCUGCUACCACACCUCGAGAAUUGUUCUUCGCUGAGUGUAGCAAUGGUGAUAAAGAUGAGGAGGGAAGACCAUCGUUGUGCUUGCCGGUUUUGGGUUCUUCGAUAGAUCACACUCGCUGCUUUUUCUGUGAGCAUAGUGGGAUAAACAUUGUGCAUCCAUAUUUUGGAACAUAUAUUGGACGCCGCGAUGAUUUCCAAGAGAUGGCUUCCGGAAGGCAAGAUGUCCUAAUUCAAACUAUCAUCGGUCGCUACGAGUUUCAAGUCGAUGGUAUGUUUACUCUGAAGGAGGACUGGAUCUAUUUUGAUCCCAACAUGGACGCAAAGAUUGCCCAGAUGAAUCCUAUUCCUGACUGGGCUAGGAAGGUGCGAGAAUGGGGCAGAAUCUUCUGA